UGAUAAUCUAGUUUGUUGUUU
rnacentral:piRNA from 1 species